rnacentral:rRNA from 1 species
CCUUCGGGAGGGCGUUUACCACGGUGUGAUUCAUGACUGGGGUGAAGUCGUAACAAGGUAACCCUAGGGGAACCUGGGGUUGGAUCACCUCCUUACCUUAA